UGAUGUAUAGGUAUAUGUCUAGGAAAUAAAAAUUGUGGGGACCUAUAUUGGACAAACCCUAUAUUUACCUAUAUUGGACAAACCUAAAUUUUAUUAAGAAACCAUAAAAAGGCACAACAAUACAACAAAAAGUAAAAUUCAACCAAACUCAGCAACAAGGAUAUAAUUCUUAUAAGUGAAAAAUGUUGGGAAUACUGACUUAUAUCAUGAUUUGAUUUUUCUUUGGCCUACAAAUCAAUUCUUUCUGUGAAAAAUUCUUUUGACUUUGCCACUCAAAUUGUACAAAUAUGGUUGUGUGGCAAUGUGACAUGUGGGAUGGGCUGCCAAUUUUGAAACUUAUUAGCUUCUUUGAAAAGCUGGUGCAGCAUUUAUGCAUGCGGGGAACACUCAGCGGAUUGAUCCAUCAGAGAAGAGAAAAUAAUGGUGUUCGAACAGACUUGGGCA
rnacentral:lncRNA from 1 species